AGAGUUUGAUCCUGGCUCAGGAUGAACGCUGGCGGCGUGCCUAAUACAUGCAAGUCGAACGUAAGGCUUCACUCUGUGUUUAAUGAUUUGAACAUAGUGUGGAAGUACACGAGUGGCGGACGGCUGAGUAACGCGUAGGAAUGUACCCCAAAGUGAGGGAUAAGCACCGGAAACGGUGUCUAAUACCGCAUGUGCUCUAAGGAGUAAAGCUUCGGCGCUUUGGGAACGGCCUGCGUAUGAUUAGCUUGUUGGUGAGGUAAUGGCUCACCAAGGCGACGAUCAUUAGCUGGUCUGAGAGGAUGAUCAGCCAGACUGGGACUGAGACACGGCCCAGACUCCUACGGGAGGCAGCAGUAGGGAAUUUUCCACAAUGGGCGAAAGCCUGAUGGAGCAACGCCGCGUGCAGGAUGAAGGCCUUCGGGUUGUAAACUGCUUUUAUAAGUGAAGAUUAUGACGGUAACUUAUGAAUAAGGAUCGGCUAACUCCGUG
rnacentral:rRNA from 1 species